rnacentral:ncRNA from 1 species
GAGUAGCCGAGUGAAGGGAAAUCUUUCACGCUCGGUUUCGGACGGGAGGGGUGUAGUGGUAACACUCACCUCGACCCUAAU